AUUAUAUUCUGGACCAGUUUAAGGCUGUGAUAGUCAAAACUGAGUUUAAAAUGGCAGAGAUUCAUGAUGGAUAUCGCUACAUUAUUCAACGUCGGCGAAAUAAUAAUAUAUUUUUCAUGUGUGCGGCAAGGAUUCCAACACUUUGUACUGGGCGAGGAAUUAAAACGGG